GACGAACGCUGGCGGCGUGCUUAACACAUGCAAGUCGAACGAAGUGGCGAACGGGUGAGUAACGCGUAAUCAACCUGCCCUUCAGAGGGGGACAACAGUUGGAAACGACUGCUAAUACCGCAAACUGCAGGAGGGGAUUGCGUCUGAUUAGGUAGUUGGGGGGGUAACGGCCCACCAAGGCGAUGAUCAGUAGCCUGUCUGAGAGGAUGAACGGCCACAUUUGGACUGAGACACGGCUCAGACGCCUACGGGAGGCAGCAGUUGGGAAUCUUCCGCAAUGGACGGAAGUCUGACUGAGCAACGCCGCGUGAGUGAUGACGGCCUUCGGGUUGUAAAGCUCUGUUAAUCGGGACGCGGUACCGGAAUAGAAAGCCACGGCUAACUACGUGCCAGCAGCCGCGGUAAUUC
rnacentral:rRNA from 1 species